rnacentral:rRNA from 1 species
GUCCAGGGGGCCGCCUUCGCCACCGGUAUUCCUCCAGAUCUCUACGCAUUUCACCGCUACACCUGGAAUUCUACCCCCCUCUACAAGACUCUAGCCUGCCAGUUUCGAAUGCAGUUCCCAGGUUGAGCCCGGGGAUUUCACAUCCGACUUGACAGACCGCCUGCGUGCGCUUUACGCCCAGUAAUUCCGAUUAACGCUUGCACCCUCCGUAUUACCGCGGCUGCUGGCACGGAGUUAGCCGGUGCUUCUUCUGCGAGUAACGUCAAUCGCCAAGGUUAUUAACCUUAACGCCUUCCUCCUCGCUGAAAGUACUUUACAACCCGAAGGCCUUCUUCAUACACGCGGCAUGGCUGCAUCAGGCUUGCGCCCAUUGUGCAAUAUUCCCCACUGCUGCCUCCCGUAGGAGUCUGGACCGUGUCUCAGUUCCAGUGUGGCUGGUCAUCCUCUCAGACCAGCUAGGGAUCGUCGCCUAGGUGAGCCAUUACCCCACCUACUAGCUAAUCCCAUCUGGGCACAUCUGAUGGCAUGAGGCCCGAAGGUCCCCCACUUUGGUCUUGCGACGUUAUGCGGUAUUAGCUACCGUUUCCAGUAGUUAUCCCCCUCCAUCAGGCAGUUUCCCAGACAUUACUCACCCGUCCGCCGCUCGUCACCCGAGAGCAAGCUCUCUGUGCUACCGCUCGACUUGCAUGUGUUAGGCCU